UUUAUAAAACAUUACUACUCGACCACCUUUACUUGUGGCUAGCAAGUGAUAGGCCACCACUCGAGCACCAAGGUUACGCCUAGUGAGUGGCCACCCUUUUGCUUUUCCACUCAAAUGAGCAAUUGGCAUUUAGCAAGCAUUUUUGUGGCAAAAUUUUUUCCUUGUUUUGUCUUUGACAUUUAACUUUAAUUACAACUUAAUAACUCAUAAUUUUGGACACGGAGUAUUCAGUUACAAUUUGGACCUUAUAAACUCCCCCUCUGAUGUUUCGUGACAAAAUCAUUUAUAUCACAAUUAAAAUCAACACAACCUAACACUUUUAACCCAAAUACUCAAUAUCCAAACUUCAACUCAAAAUCUUGUCAUAUCUGUUACCUGAAAUACACGAAAUCAACAAUACCACGUGUAAAAGCAAAAGGAAACAACAAUUAAAUACGUAACUAAGUUAUAUAAACAAUGUAAGUAAAAUAUGUGUAACACCAAAACAUGUAAUAUUACGUGCAUCAAUAACUAGAAACUAAACAUGACAUGCUGGAAUAUAAUAUCACAACGACUAAGUUAUAGAAACAAUGAAAGUAAAAUAUGUGUAACACCGAAACAUGUAAUACUAUGUUCAUCAAUAACUUAGAAACUAAACAUGACAAGUUGGAAUAUAAUAUCACAAUAGCUGAACUAGCAACACAAAGCAUGAUAUUGAUAUUGUAUAAAAUACCUAACAUAAUAUCAAUAAGCUUAAAUAACACCGCUAUUCAAAUUUCAAUCACAAAAAAUUUAUGAUUGACCUUAAGUCAAAGAUAAAAAAUAAUGUAUCAACUUCUCCCAACUCAUAUACUCAACUCAAGUGAAAUAAAUACUUAUCUCUCCUUCCUUUUUGUUACGAAUCACAAAGGGAAACAAAUAAUGUAAUCAUGAAUAACACAGAGAGCAAAAAGUGAAAAAAUUAUGCAUAUGGACAAACUAUGCAAAAUAUGUGAUGCGAGAAUUUUUUUUCCUUUUUGAGAUAACUCUUUUUCACUUGUUUUUAAAUAUAACAUCAAGUAGUGAAGGAUCAAAUCACAUGAACAGUUAUUUGCUUCCUUAUACAAUCAUAAUUUAUAAAUAGUAACCUUUUUCCACAUAACUCAUUUUAAAUCUAUACGGAGUAAAUUAUAUAUACAGCCCAUGUAUGAAAAAUACCACUAAUCUCUUGUAAACAAGAUUCAGAACCUUAAAUCAAUGAGAAAAUGACAUGCAAAGAAAUCGCUCGUGAAUGGAUAUUGUCCUGAAAUUAUGAAAAUCAAACACAGUAAUACUAGGACCUUUUAAUUAAAGUAGCUCAUAUUAAUAACUUUGGGUUGAGCUGAGUGUACAGGGUACGGUGCUCGUGCCGAACACACACAACAUCGGGUGGGUGGGGUUUUAUUAGUUUUUUAUACAGGUGAGUCCCAUGUGGGACCCAUUUGGUGUGAGUGAGUGUAGGGGUUCCGUGAACAAAAACCUCUUUACACUCAAAAUUAUUCAAUAACUUAUUUCUUUCUUCCCCUAUCUGUGAGCAUAUAAUUUUUUUUUAUCUUAUAUGUAGAUUUUUUUCAUUAAACUUACUAAAUGAUUCAUAUAACGAGUUUUAAGUCGAUAGGGCAUCAGGUUAUAAGAAACCCAGCAAACUUAAUUAUUCGAGUUAUAAAUGCUAUAAAGAGAAGUAUAAGAUAUAUCACAAAUUUCUAUAAAAUUCAAAUCCUUUUUUUUUCUUUUUUUGGGAAUAUACAAGAGCUAAAGUUAGCUAAUUAAACGUUAAUUCAUAUUCAAAGUCACCUCGCUACACCAAUAAUCACUAUCUCAAAUCUCACACAUGCGAUCAAAACUCACUCACAAGAGUGUAAUAUAUGCAGUGCAACUAAUGCAUGAAAAAAUUUAUAUCAAGUACUCCAAUAAGCUCUAAACAAAAGUUAAUGGAAACUUUAUUCACAGUUCAUAUAUUUUACUAGCAAUUAAUCACAAAAUAACAUGUCCGAUCAUUUUAAAGUAUUAUAAUCAUCAAAAAUCUCUUCUUCUU
rnacentral:lncRNA from 1 species